GUUCCUCUGGUUGCCACAGUUCAUACCAUGCUAGUAAUUCACGAUAUUCCUUUCUUAACUGGCAUUCCAUUCCAUAAUUUGGCUUAAGUAGCCUUCCUACUUCUUUUGAUAUUAUACUAUUCCUUCCAUAAUAUUCUCGUAGAAAUAUUUUUGUUAUUUUGUUUUGAUACAUCAUAUGGUACUCAGUAUUGAAUUUAGUAUUUCCUUCUAUUUCUUUUGCUUCACUGAAAAUUCUCCAAUUAUCAUGAUUAUUUUUGGCACGUAUUUCUUCAUAAUUGUACCAUGUUUCUGAAGACCAUAUCGUAGGGAAUUUAUACGAACCUUUUAUAAUAUAAAUAUCAUGGCUUGCUGGUCUCAAUGGUAGUGUAAAUUUUGGUGGGUUAGAAAAGUAUUUUAUUUUAUAUUUUCCUUGAACACACGCCAAUCUUUUGCAUGCUUCUUUAAUAGCCUUUCCUAAAUCAGAUUGAAGUAUUUCCUCUAAUGUUCCAUAAAUAUCUCGGACUAACCCAUGAUCAAUAAUAGUUUGUAA
rnacentral:lncRNA from 1 species